UCUAAUAUGGCAGACUAGUGCUAUGGACUUAAACCCCAUAUAUAAGAUUUACUCUUUUUUAGAA
rnacentral:tRNA from 1 species